rnacentral:rRNA from 1 species
CAGCCGCCGCGGUAAAACGGAGGGCGCGAGCGUUACCCGGAUUUACUGGGCGUAAAGGGCGUGUAGGCGGCCUGGGGCGUCCCAUGUGAAAGGCCACGGCUCAACCGUGGAGGAGCGUGGGAUACGCUCAGGCUAGAGGGUGGGAGAGGGUGGUGGAAUUCCCGGAGUAGCGGUGAAAUGCGCAGAUACCGGGAGGAACGCCGAUGGCGAAGGCAGCCACCUGGUCCACUUCUGACGCUGAGGCGCGAAAGCGUGGGGAGCAGACCGGAUUAGAUACCCGUGUAGUCCCUGUCUCUUAUAC